rnacentral:rRNA from 1 species
UACGUAGGGUGCGAGCGUUUAAUCGGAAUUACUGGGCGUAAAGCGUGCGCAGGCGGUUCGUUGUGUCGGCGGUGAAAGCCCCGGGCUUAACCUGGGAAUGGCCGUCGAAACUGGCGAACUGGAGUGUGGCAGAGGGGGGUAGAAUUCCACGUGUAGCAGUGAAAUGCGUAGAGAUGUGGAGGAACACCGAUGGCGAAGGCAGCCCCCUGGGUCAAGACUGACGCUCAUGCACGAAAGCGUGGGGAGCAAACAGG